rnacentral:rRNA from 1 species
UACAGAGGGUGCGAGCGUUAAUCGGAAUUACUGGGCGUUAAGCGUGCGUAGACGGUCAUGUAAGUCGGAUGUGAAAGCCCCGGGCUCAACCUGGGAAUUGCAUUCGAGACUGCAUGGCUUGGGUGCGGAAGAGGGAAGCGGAAUUUCCGGUGUAGCGGUGAAAUGCGUAGAUAUCGGAAGGAACACCAGUGGCGAAAGCGGCUCCCUGGUCCAGCACCGACGUUCAGGCACGAAAGCGUGGGGAUCAAACAGG